rnacentral:rRNA from 1 species
UACAGUCAGCUAUCACAUAAAGGCCACGGUGGGCCAGCUGGCCGGUGCUAAAGCCGGCCAGUGUGCGCCUCGCAGUGCGCGUCACCCCAGGGAACGUGGCAAAAAGAGGAGACAAAGGAAUAGAAGAGUCCACGUUACGAGACCAGGUGAGUAAGAGCAAGCAUAAGAAAGCGAUCAUGAAAGGGAAGGUAGAGAAGAGAAGGCUAGGUGGACGGUCGUCGAGCGUGGUCGGGGCGGAACGUAGUGUUGGUGUGGUCUCUUCGUGUUGAGGGCGGCACGUAGCGGCUGAGUGCUGGUGUGGGGCGGCGGCGCUCGACAGAGUAGUGGUGGUGGCGCUCGGCGACGCUCGACAGGUCGACGCGUGAUGCGGUCUCAACGAGGUCGACAUGGCUCCCCUACGCGGCGCCGUCGGCGACGACGUUCAGUUUGUGGUGCGGCCUCAAGGACCUUAGUCGUAGCCGUCCUCGACGUUAGCCGCCGUUAAAAACGAUGUUGGCCCCAAAACAAAACGACCUUGGUUACUGAGAAAAACGAUCCUAGACAUUCACCCCCAACAAAAACGAUCUUGGUCGAAGUUAAAAACAACGGUGGUAUAUACUAAAAACGAUUCAGAACUAAAAACGAUGGCGGGUAGAAACUAAAAAAUACUUUGGUCAAGAUUUAAAAACGAUGAUGGUAGGAAACAAAAACGAUGGUGGCAGAAUCUAAAAACGAUGGUAGGGUAGAAAAACUAAAACAUAACCUAGGUAGACGGCCGUCAGCGAAAAGAGGGAGUGCGCUCUACACAGCCCCCUCGAUGCUUUAAGCGUUUCGACCUUGGUAGCGGGUUUAAACGACCUUGGCUGCCGGUUAAAACGACCUUGGCCGAUACCACUACUGCUGCUGAUACUGUCCUCGUUGCUUGAUCGCUCCCUACAACGCUGGACGCCCGACAAAACAACCUUGGCUGCUACGAAAAACGAUGUAUCCCCGCCUAUCUGCGCCCCGUGCUCGCUACGUUGGUACCUCGGUCGCUCCAACGGGCCGCUCGACGUGGCCGCUCGCUGCGGUACCUCCGUCUCCGUCUUUCGGCGCCCCCUUGCUACUUGUUCGUCCCCCUAAACGCACUGGCCGCAGCGAGCGCUCUUCUUUUCCCUGCACACGCUCCGUUAGGAUACCAGGUCCCGCGUGCAUAGCCCGCCGACGCGCCACUGGCCGGGUUUAAACCCGGCCAGCUGGCCGCGGAUCAUGACGGGUUGACAGUUUGACAGUUUCAUGUACAUUGAAAAGCGGAUAGAAGAAACGUCACAGUCCAAAAAAGAAUAGAAAACAAAAAGAAAGGGAAUCUUUUCUGUAGGUCGUUUGUAGGGAGACAACAAAAUAAACAAUGACGAGGGAGGCAAAUUUAUAUGCUCCGUGGUACCUAAAAAGUCGAAAGUAUUUAAACUGUUUUUUAUUCAAGCUUUUUGUAUUGGUCGCUUGUAGUCUAUAAUCUGGGAAAGUCGUCUGCGGGAAACCUAAGGAACGUGCUUAGAACCGUGCCAACAUCGUCGGUACGGUGUUAAAGUUUCGUCGCAAGCAACAUUGGCGGCGCGGGCACUUACAAAGGAACAGUAAAGAGGAAUAGGUGAGGGUGGGAGUGGGCAACGCCGACGAGCUGGGACGGCCUCAGCCCCCUCAGUUAGCACACAACACGACCUUAAUCCAAAUAAAGUCCGGUCGAGUUAUCGGUAUAAGUCUUAAGGAUUAUUUAGAAUCUCCAGGUGAAUGGGGGUAUGUUUUAUUUUCCACCCUGAUUUCAAAUUAGAGUGUGACAAGUGGAUCAUCCUCAACCUGGAGGAGUAUUCCAUUCAACAAAAGGGUAUACAUACCCGUACUCUUGUUCUCUCGUGCGCGCGAGGAGGAGGCUGCGGGCAGAGCGGUACGGAGCAGUGCUGCGUAGUGCCCAACGCCUACUCGGCCCGGCAACAGAUUUAAACAAAUCACCUCUAACUUAUGCUUGUGAUGUGAGAAAUCAUCGACGAACAAGUAAGACAGAGGGAGAAAAAGAAGUGGGGCGCGACGACGUACAAGCGAAGGAAAAGAACACGGAUAUUUGCUCGCCAACGAGGAGAGGUCUCUCUGUGUGCUCUUGUAGUGGAAGGAGUACGGUGGCUCAAGGUUCGAGACUCAACGACGAUCCAAGAAGGGGUAGGGCCGAACGCCACACGUAGCAUCCAGCUCUCUCAUCCGGAGGUUUUGGGGCGGUGAAGCUCAGGUAUGCCCUUUUCCCACUAUUCCAAAACCCCCUAACGAGACGCGCUGAUGACUGGAGAAGUAGUACGUGCGGCUGCUGGUGAAGGGGUUGCUGCUGAAGAAGGGGCCGUAGCUGUUGGAGAAGCUGAUGUACCCACUUGCGGUUGCGGUUAGGGUUACGGUGACGGCCAUACACAAGCACAAGAAAAACAAGCUGUAGGACGAUCUCAAAGAAAAGAACGAAGACGGGAUCUAUAAAAUACAAGUAUAAGUGAUGAAGUCUACGAUAAACGUACGAGAUACAGUCUAACGUACUAACC